UACGUAGGGUGCAAGCGUUGUCCGGAAUUAUUGGGCGUAAAGAGCUCGUAGGCGGUUUGUCGCGUCUGCUGUGGAAACUCGGGGCUUAACCCCGGGCCUGCAGUGGGUACGGGCAGACUAGAGUGCGGUAGGGGAGACUGGAAUUCCUGGUGUAGCGGUGAAAUGCGCAGAUAUCAGGAGGAACACCGGUGGCGAAGGCGGGCCUCUGGGCCGUAACUGACGCUGAGGAGCGAAAGCGUGGGGAGCGAACAGG
rnacentral:rRNA from 1 species